CUGGAAGGCCAGGCAUCAACAUUGCCUGGCUGCAAAGCUGCUGGUAUCACCUGGAGCUCAACACAUUUAAUCUUACCCUGCAACUGCUAAUGUCACUUGGGUGCCAUCAAUGGAAGACUGAGAGAGGAUAAUUGAAAAGACUGGACUCCUAAAAUUAAAGUACAAGACCAAAUGGUUUUCCUGUCGCACGAGGGAAUCAGUGGGCAGUCUAGAUACCCAAGGCUAGAGGGACCCCCUGGAGUGCUGGUAAGUUUUGCA